rnacentral:rRNA from 1 species
GAUCUCGAAAGCCUGUCCCAGUUCGGACUGGAGUCUGCAACCCGACUCCACGAAGUUGGAUUCGCUAGUAAUCGCGCAUCAGCCAUGGCGCGGUGAAUACGUUCCCGGGCCUUGUACACACCGCCCGUCAAGCCAUGGGAGCCGGGGGCGCCUGAAGUCCGGGACCGCGAGGACCGGCCUAGGGCGAAACUGGUAACUGGGGCUAAGUCGUAACAAGGUAAC